GAUGAACGCUGGCGGCGUGCCUAACACAUGCAAGUCGAGCGAACAGACGAUGAGCUUGUUCCCCUGACGUUGGCGGCGGACGGGUGAGUAACACGUAGAUCACCUACCUAUAUUUCGUGGAUAACUUCGGGAAACCUGAUCUAAUACCACCUAAUAUAUUGUACCGCAUGGUUCAAUAGUGAUUCACGCUUUUCCCGUCACAUAUAGACGGUUCCGCGUCGCAUUAGCUAGUUGGUAAGGUAACGGCUUACCAAGGCGACGAUGCGUAGCCGACCUGAGAGGGUGAUCGGCCACACUGGAACUGAGACACGGUCCAGACUCCUACGGGAGGCAGCAGUGGGGAAUAUUGCGCAAUGGGCGAAAGCCUGACGGAGCAAUGCCGCGUGAGUGAUGAAGGUCUUCGGGUCGUAAAGCUCUGUUGUUGGGGAAGAAAAACAGUGUAUGAAACCCUGGCCGUUUUGACGGUACCUAAUGAGAAAGCAACGGCUAACUUCGUG
rnacentral:rRNA from 1 species